rnacentral:lncRNA from 1 species
CAGGUAUAUGAAUGAAUAUAAAUCAUUCCAUUUAUAUAAUAUUCAACGUUUAUCUUUUCAUUCUUUCAAAAAAAAAAAUGUUUAUCUUUUCAUGUGACAUUUUGUCUCACAUAUCAGUUGUGCUUUCUUAUUUAUAUGUGAAAUAUCCUUCUAAAAUAUUGUAAGUUUUUUUUUACCCUUAAAAUGCUACAACUUGAUCUUACGAGCUCUUACGAGCUCCAUAAUGGCUUCUUCUCUUUGCUCUUCUCUUAGCCCUUAAAUUUAUAAUCAAUACUCUAUGUUGGGGGAGUUAAGCUCUCUAUAUAUGACUUUAUAAUCUAAACAGAUCUUUAUGCAGUAGUAUUUUCUAAUAAAAUAAAAAGCAAUUAUGGAGCAACUUUGAUUAUAUGAGAACAUGUCACACCAAUAUUGUUUUAUAUCAAAGAAAUAUAUUUUAAUCCCUUUGAUUUUUUAUUUUUUUUUAGUAUGUAAAUAGUUGCAUAAUUGAAAGUUUUAAUCCCUCCUUUAAAAAAAAAGUUUUAAUCCCUUUAAAACCAAAUUCUUUCAAUUUGACUAUGUAUUUUCAAAUACGUUUAAACUGGUCUCUCAACUAUUUUUUUUUUUUAAGUGAUGCAAAUUUGAUUAUGUGUGUCUGUGUCAACUGAAUUUUAUACUUGUUGAUUCGUCAAAUUCUAUAGUAUAACGACACAAAUAUCCAUUUUAUUCACCAUCUAUCUAUGAUUCUUCUUCUAUGAAUUCAAAGAUCUUCUCUAUCUUGGAUUGAUCAUCGUCCUUUCACUAUAAUUUUCUUUUUACGAAAAAAGGAAAAUUAAAAAAUUAAAAAAUAAAUAAAUAAAAACUGACGCAAGGAAAGGAUUAGAGCAACUUUGUGUUUUAAUUUGAUAAUAAAAUGCAGUGAAUAGUAGUCGUAUUAUCUUGGAAUUAGUUAGUAGUUUGGCAUCUCUAAGAAAUCAAUAGUAGUAAUUUGUUAGGAGUGAUUUGAAAAGAAAGAAAGCAAGUCGGCUAUAUAAUUAGACUUGAAUGAAACUGAAGUGCAUUAAAUUUUUCUUUUUCUUCUACUUAAUUCCUUGAUCUUACCAAACUUAACAUCAAUAUUGUUGGUCCCUUGAAGCCUUUCAUGCAUGGAUGAUAUCUUCAACUACAAAAGUACGUGGAAAAAAAGGGAAAACACUUAUACAAUUUCUAAUACUAUAUAAAUGUGUAAAAAUAACUUUUAUUUUUUCAUAAUUGGAGGAAUACAAGAAGUGUAACAAUAUCAAGACACUAUGAUAAGCACACUCGCUUAAUAGUAUUUCACGUGGUAUAAAUUGUAAGUUUAUAUGUAAUAUAAUAUAAUAAUGUAUAAUGUGUGUAUAAAGAUUGAGAUAGAUUGAUUACUUCAUUAGGAAAGAGAUGAAUGAGCUAACGUUGAUGAAAGCAAUUACAGUGGUUGAUGUUAUCAAUUAAAUGAAAUGAAAUGCCCUAAAAGUUUAGACAUUAUCAACCAAAAAAGGCAGUAGUGUUGGCUAAUUGUGAUUUUUGCAAGCUAAGCUAUAAUCAAUUUACUAUUAAUUAUAACUAGAUUAAAGAUGCUACAUCUCUUUCUUCAUGUCCCUUUCCAUUUACACCACUCAUUGCAAGCUUUGAACGCUUCUUAUAUUUCUUAUUAUCAACAUCUACCUCUUUAAUUUUCUGUUUUCUCAAACCUUCUUCACAUUUAAUUAAUUUCAUCAAUUUUGACCAAUAAAAGGAGAGAAAUAGAUAUUAUUAUUAUUAAUUUAAAAAAAAUAUGGGGGAGAGAUUAAAUUUAUUAAGCUUUCAUAUUAUAUAAAG